UCGAAGAAGAUAAAAUUAUCAAAGAAGCAACCACAAUUCAUUCUUCAAUUUCCUAUUUAUAUGAGGGUAUUUUGGUCAAAAAAAUUUAAAUAUAGGGGUGUGGGUACAAUUGUAGGGGUACGGGGUAAAGUUUUCCAAAAUCGGAGAGGUAUGUUCCAUUGGAAAGGACUUCGCUUGGGCCAAAGGCCCAAUUCGUCAACACCCAAAUCUGGAUUCCUCAGUCAUCACCAGAUUCACCCUAACGUCAUGCCAAUUCGGAACUGAUUCAACCUAACACCGCGGACUCGGAGUCGCCACCGUCACUGAAACGCCAUGAGAAUUUCGAAACGUAUGAACGCGGAUUCAUAUUCUCCAAGACUCCAGGUCAAUGUUCAACGAACGCUUCAACACGAACUGGAAUCUCGACGAAAGGUCAGGGAUUCAAUUUCUCAACAUAAACAUCGAGAAUCUCGACGCGACUUUAAUUCAUUCUCAACACAAACAUCGGGAAUCUCGACGAAAGGUCAGGGAUUCAAUUUCUCCCUCCACGAAAAAACAAGAACGAAAUGGACCCGCGUGGUAUUUCGACACCAAAAUGAAACGAGACCAAAAUCGAGUUCGACUUGCCCUCACGCGUGCGGCGUAGAGAAGAUUGAAGGAAGAAGAAAUUUACCGUAUGUUUUGUCGUGUUAUUGAUGUUCAAUGGCGUCGUGUUUGCAAGGAAGAGCGAAAAUGAUUGAUGAUGCAUUCGUGAUGGAGAUGUAGACGUUGACGAGUUCGUGGUUGCGAAUCGAUUGGGAUGAUGGUAAAGCCCCAGUUCGCAUGUGUUUCUUUUCCAGAAGUCUGGUUAGGGUUGAGGGAGAUUGAAGUUUUGUAGUUCUCUUUUCUGCAGGUUCGGUUGGUUCUGGGAAGGAAGUGAUGUGGAUUGUAGGGAAUUGGAGGACGGUGUUUCGAUGAGGGUGAAGAAGAGGGUUCUGGAGGAUGAUGAAGGGUGAGGUUGAAGAAGAGGGUUGGUUGAAAUGAGGGUGAAGUUCUGUUAUGAUGUAGUUUUUGAGUUGAAGCUGAAGUUUUUGUUUUUGAAGGUUGGAAUUAGAGGGAAAAUCCCAAUUGGUUAGGAAGUGGUUUGGAUUUCGGUUGAGGAUUGUGGAGUUUUUGUUACAAUUCAGUUAUCGAUUUGUUAUUCAUUCUGUUAUUUUUUAGUUGGAGUUUGUUAUGGUUUUGAAUGAGUUUUUGUUGCUAGUUGGUUUUCGGAUCAAAUUGGCUUUGAAGUAUAGUGUGAAGGUGAAUAUCCAUUGGCAAAAAAUCUGUUGAAAGGUGGUGAGGAUGUGAGGUUAUGAAGCUCUCCAUUGGCUGCCUUGAAAUGCAUCGGCUGCCAUGGUGGAUGCUUUAAUUGAAUUCAAUGAAGUGCAUUGGCUAUUGGGUGAUGGAAUGCAAUAGAUUUGGAUUGGCCUUGGAAUACUUUGAUUGGAUUUUGCUUGGAAUUGCAUUGCUCAUGCUUGGAAUCAAUGGGAUUUGAUUGUAGUUAUAGAUUUUAUGUAUGAAUGAUUGUAAAUUGUUUGAAUGUACACACAUUAGAUUUUGAAUUGUAAUUAGAUUUUGAAUAUAUAAACGAUGGUUGUUUGAGAA